rnacentral:rRNA from 1 species
AGCGAACGCUGGCGGCAGGCUUAACACAUGCAAGUCGAGCGGGCAUCCUUGUGGUGUCAGCGGCAGACGGGUGAGUAACGCGUGGGAACGUGCCCUUCGGUUCGGAAUAACUCAGGGAAACUUGAGCUAAUACCGGAUACGUGCGAGAGCAGAAAGGUUUAUCUGCCGAAGGAUCGGCCCGCGUCUGAUUAGCUAGUUGGUGAGGUUACGGCUCACCAAGGCGACGAUCAGUAGCUGGUCUGAGAGGAUGAUCAGCCACACUGGGACUGAGACACGGCCCAGACUCCUACGGGAGGCAGCAGUGGGGAAUAUUGGACAAUGGGGGCAACCAUGAUCCAGCCAUGCCGCGUGAGUGAUGACGGCCUUAGGGUUGUAAAGCUCUUUUCUCCGGGACGAUAAUGACGGUACCGGAGGAAUAAGCCCCGGCUAACUUCGUG